UUAUAAGAGACAGCAGCCGCCGCGGUAAUACAGAGGAUGCAAGCGUUAUCCGGAAUGAUUGGGUUUAAAGGGUGCGUAGGUGGCCUGUUAAGUCAGGGGUGAAAGACGGUAGCUUAACUAUCGCAGUGCCCUUGAUACUGAUGGGCUUGAAUGAACUAGAGGUAGGCGGAAUGUGACAAGUAGCGGUGAAAUGCAUAGAUAUGUCACAGAACACCAAUUGCGAAGGCAGCUUACUAUGGUUUUAUUGACACUGAGGCACGAAAGCGUGGGGAUCAAACAGGAUUAGAUACCCCCGUAGUCCCUGUCUCUUAUAC
rnacentral:rRNA from 1 species